rnacentral:tRNA from 1 species
GCUCGGGUGGUGGAACUGGUAUACACGCAGGACUUAAAAUCCUGUGGGACUUAUAAUCCCGUACGGGUUCGAUUCCCGUCCCGAGCA